AGCAAUUUUAUUAAAAAGUCUUACUGUAUAAGAUAAAGAAAUGAGCAUCUAGGGUUUAUAUAAGGACAUUCUCACCUAUUUACAUGUGCAAAGUAGCAGCUUGAGGCAACCAGCAGCAAUGUAAGACCAGUAAGAAACCCUAACCACAUCCAUGCACAGGAGAUGUACAGGACUUAAAAACAGUUUCCGGACAAUGCUUCUUCUAGUACAGUAUCCGUACUGCACCACUUUGCUUGUAGAAGGAAUGGAGGAUAGUAGCAUUGGAAAAACAACAUAAAGAGUCUCCAGGUAGGCACAACGAUACUUCAAGUUUAGGAAUACAAGUCGUGUGAAAUUUUGACUAUCCCUUUUGUAGGUGAAACAUAUCUCAUAUGGAGGAGUUAAAUAAUAAUAGCGCGUGCCCGGUUAAAUUGCUCAUGCAUCAAAAUUGACAUUAUAGGAAAUGUGGACCUUGUUCAAUUACAUAAGAUAUCAAACUGCUUGAAAUAAAUUGGGCAAAAGCCAUAAUCGGAAAUUAAAACCUGCAAACAAGGAGGUCCAAAUACCAAAACGAAAUUCCAUUGGUUUCAGAUCUUUAUCAGUCAAGACUAAUGAAAUCAUUAAUCAUGUUUUCCUAGUACCUGAUACGACUUCAGGGGGGUAUUGAAGAAGAUUGGCAGAUGCACCGAAGAUCUCUGCAUCUUAUUAAUGAUUGUCUGACAUUUCAAAACCCCUCCUGCAAAAUGAGAUAUAAAACCAUUGGCCUAACAGCAAAAUCAGCCACAAAAUCAGAUAAUAAGACAGCACUAACUGCUUCUCCAUUUGUUGCCACAGAUAUUUGUAAAAAGAUGACCAAGGAGAGCUAUCUACCAAGAAGAAUAUUCACCUGUAUCUGUAAGCCCUGGAUAAUUCAUCUGGUGAGACA
rnacentral:lncRNA from 1 species